rnacentral:rRNA from 1 species
UGGGGAAUUUUGGACAAUGGACGCAAGUCUGAUCCAGCCAUUCCGCGUGCAGGACGAAGGCCUUCGGGUUGUAAACUGCUUUUGUACGGAACGAAAAGGCUUCUCCUAAUACGAGAGGCUCAUGACGGUACCGUAAGAAUAAGCACCGGCUAACUACGUGCCAGCAGCCGCGGUAAUACGUAGGGUGCAAGCGUUAAUCGGAAUUACUGGGCGUAAAGCGUGCGCAGGCGGUUAUAUAAGACAGAUGUGAAAUCCCCGGGCUCAACCUGGGAACUGCAUUUGUGACUGUAUAGCUGGAGUACGGCAGAGGGGGAUGGAAUUCCGCGUGUAGCAGUGAAAUGCGUAGAUAUGCGGAGGAACACCGAUGGCGAAGGCAAUCCCCUGGGCCUGUACUGACGCUCAUGCACGAAAGCGUGGGGAGCAAACAGG